rnacentral:sRNA from 1 species
ACGGCUCUACAGUGUAGCAGUAUGGCUGUGGGUAUACUUUGUUCUUUUGUUCUUUAAAGGGCUAUGAUGACUUUCCUCUUCUCAAAUAGAAACAGUGACGGAUACAUCCGGUUUCUCUCUUUCGGGAGGGCUUUGCCUGGAAGUACAUGUCUAACUUUCAUGAGCUGAAUGGAUUCUGAGUCCUCCUCGGUCAUAGCAGAACGUAACCACACACCGUGCAAGCUGGUCGUUGUCAACACAAGCUGAUGUUCUUUCUCUGUACUUUCCUUUCCUUCCUUCCUCUCUAUUCAUUAUUUCUUACCGUCUAUUUGGUUGGCUUUUGGUAGCUGUAUCCUCAUCCAUAAGGAGGAAGUCGGGGUUGCUUCAGAAUCAUCUCACUUAGUGUUUCAAUAGCAGACUUGUAACUACCUCUUUCUGCUCCAUCCUUCAAAGUGUUCAUUUCUACUAGGAAAGAGAUAUCAAGGAACUCAAGUCCCAUAGCCCACGGGAAUGACGAGUGGGUUAUUCCAAGGUUGCUCUGGAUAUUCCACGUCAUCAUUUAAAUCCAUCCGUAGGCGGUCGGUGAGACUUGAUGUGAACAAUCUCAUUUGUCCAAAGUAAGAGAAAGCUGCUACCCAAAAAAAGUACUAAAAAGAUAGCUCAGGGUGGUAUUAAUGAUAUUACUUGUAUUAAAAAAGCUUUCUUCUUUGACAGAUUUCACACGUGUCUAUAUAUUUUUGGACAUCUAACUCUG